CCUACGGGCGGCAGCAGUGAGGAAUAUUGGUCAAUGGGCGCGAGCCUGAACCAGCCAAGUCGCGUGAGGGAAGACGGUCCUAUGGAUUGUAAACCUCUUCUGUCGGGGAGCAAAAGACGCCACGCGUGGCGUUCCGAGAGUACCCGACGAAAAAGCAUCGGCUAACUCCGUGCCAGACGCCGCGGUAAUACGGAGGAUGGGAGUGGUAUCUGGAUUUAUUGGGUUAAAAGGGUACGCAGGGGGCAGUUCAAGUCAGCGGUAAAGUUGAGAGGCUAACCCUCUACGUGCAGUUGAAACUGGUUUUCUUGAGUGAGUUAGAAGUAUGCAGAAUGCGUGGUGUAGCGGUGAAAUGCAUAGAUAUCACGCAGAACUCCGAUUGCGAAGGCAGCAUACCGGUGCUCAACUGACGCUCAUGUACGAAAGUGUGGGUAUCGAACAGGAUUAGAUACCCUUGUAGUC
rnacentral:rRNA from 1 species